GCGCCGGCCGACAUAACGGCGCGAGUGACGACGCCGCGCGCACGUGAAGCCUGUGCCUGCGCCGCGAGUGACACGCGUGUGAACAUCAUACUUACGACAAAGUGACUGUGCCUGUGAAUGCUCCACCAUACCCGAGGCUCUGAGGUGCUUGUUUAGCAGUGUUUGUAUUGUGGUGACCAGCUCCAUCCUUAGGUGCUUUCUCUGGAGUUACACAAAACUGUGCCAAGCAUCGGGUUACGACCGCCACGCGUCUCGCUACGUGACCGACAAACGGAUCGUUAAAGAUGCGUGUAUAAGCGGUGCAGCGUCGGCUUGGCAUGGGCCAGGCGGGCAGCCACGCGCCGCCGCCGCAGCGCGGGCGUCGGGCGCACACGCUGCCGCACGACCCGCCGCGACUUGCGCCUAAGGUGCUACCAACGCUAUGCGAGUCGCCGCGCCUGCGCAGUACGGAUAACGGCGCGAUCCUGCACUCGGGCGGCACCAUCAGCGGCCGCAGACCCAACACCAUACACGACAAUGUGCCGCAUGGACAUGUGCACGCGAACGUGUACCGGUCGCGGUCGGCGGGGACCUCUGGCGAGAACACUGACAUACGCUCGAGAGAAAGAGAUCCCCUGCAUCGGUCACACACCAACUUGGAGCUACGACAUGAUGGAGGCAGUAUGAACAAGCGAUUUGGGUCUGAACCAGACCUGAGAAUAGAAGAGGAACAGAAAACGAGAAAUGGAAACAAACACUUUCGAAAAAAAUACAGAGCACCCCCACCACCCACCAAUGACAACUUCGAGGGUUCAUCGCCAGAUUCCAGCGAAGGGAACGCGAGACCUGAACCCCAGAGGAAACUAAGACUGUUCAAAACGAGAAACGAAACCAAAAAACUGAACGGCCAGGAGAACUUGCAGUUCAGAAACUCAUAUCACGAAUACAAGUCACUCGACAUGACCGACAACGCGGCGUUCGAGAGACGAUACAGAUCGCCUUGCAAGGACAAGGAGCAACACUUAAAAUACCCUGACAACAAGGACAUGGUGCAGAGCACCGCCUCUCUCAAGCGGGAGGAACGACUCAUACAAACGAAACAAGACUACAGGAAGACGAGGAUAGACAGGAUGAGCGGCUGUCGAGCGAAAACAUCAAAGAACGAACACAGUGAAGCGUGGAAGACUCCACUACUAAACAGGAAUUUCAGGUACUCCGAGAGGUUCAAGAAAGAUGACAACGAACUGCCCGCGCUCAGGAGAGAGAGGACAUUCGACGAAACAUUGAUCGCCAGCGAGAGGGAGAGCGAGUCCUCCAGAGCAGCGCACGAGGGCAGGAUGAAGGCCAUCGCGGAACAGCUGAGGGGGGGCAAGCCCACCCCCCUGGCGGAGACCAACAAACCGUUGAGAAAAUCUCUUCCUUCACUAUUGGCAAAAAAUAAUGAAGAAAAAGAUGAAUUUCAAGCAGAACUUAAGAAGGCUACGAGUAGAAUUAGAAAUCAAUUAGGCAGUAAAGUUAAUGAUAGUGAAACCAAAACUAGUCAAGAGAAGAACGAUUUGAGGAGCCCAACGAAAAUACCGAGUAAAGUGAAAAAGUCUAGUCCAAGUGUUGCCACCAAAACUGAAGCGAAGGUCGUCAGUAGACGGCCCUUCAGUCGGACGAACGAGGACAAAGCUAGACAGACGAGUAACGUCGUUAGUGCUAAGAAAUUGGACAAUAAAUAUAAGGCGAGCAGUAAGGAGAACAGCCGACCCAUGCCGGACAGAGGGCAGGCCUCCGGGAAGGAGUCCACUCCUGAACACUCACCCACUAGGAAGUUGGAAUCACUGCUCAAAUCAAACCAAUCAUCUCAAGAAAAACAAAAGCAGGCGGCUCCAUCUAAACAGUUCUACUUCGGCAUGAUAGAGAGCAAACAGACAGACACGAACGACCACCUGAAGGACUUCCCCGGGCUCGGCAGCCCCAUCAUCGAGGAGAUCUCAAACUUCCACCUGAUCGAACAGAAACUGCUCAACUAUCAGGAGGACGAGUCGGAGUUCGAUAAGUUCAAUGAAAAGCUGAAGGAGGAGAGCAAGACUAAGAAUUUAUCAUCGGAGUCAGCGCUAUCAUCAGGCGGGUCGGUGGAGUCGGACAGUUCGCUGGGCAUCGCGCUGAGGCUGCGCCCCACGCUGCCCAAGAAGCAGCGCUGUGUGCCGCGCUUCUCGCCUGCUGCUGCGUGGAGACAGCUCGCCUGUCUGGAUGAUCAUCUCGCUGCAGAGACUCAACCACUUGCAGUAGAGACGAAGAUGUCAGGAGACAUAUCGGCGGAGUCAUCACCGCGGUCGGACCAGUCGGCCGAUAAGUCGGGAGACUCCGGUAUAUCGGGCGACCACAUGCACUCCGAUCACAGGAUCGACUCACCUCCUACACACCACGUACACACACAAGACUCAGGCCCAGCCGCUUGGACCCCGCAGCAAGACCUGGGAGACAGCAGCUCGGAUGGCGCUGGUGGAGCCCCAGCGCUGCUGGGCUCGGGGCUCGCAACAUACAGCCCCGGCCACCAGCCCUUCAGCCUGUCGCUGCCCAGGGACCAGGACCGGGGUAAGCAGUUACAGCAAGGCUUCAACAGUCUCCAAAAACUUCGGAAGUCGGUGUCCGGAGCGUUAGGGGCGGCUCUAGGUUCUAGAAGGUUCGAUUUGGAACAUGAGCCGAUGUUAGAAGAGCCGGAACAGAACUGGUUCCUGACGAAGUCUGCUCCCAACUCCUUGAGCAAUCCCCUGCUGUUCCAGCAGCCGGCGAGAGCGAAGGGAUCCGAAGAAGAUGCUAUUAAAGAGGAGUCUCUACCAGCGUCAGAAAAGGAGGAGCUAGGCACGUGGCGGGCCGGUACAUCAUACCUGUCGUGGGGCGGUCACGUCAUGUACCUGCCUCCUGCACCUGCUGCAGAACAGCCGCUGUCCAUGCUCGGACCUAUUGAUAGGCCCGUCAGGAGCAAAUCAAGCGGGUGUUUGGAAGCGUCAGCGCGUGCGGCCCGCGCGGGGCUGUGCGCGGAGAUGCGCGAGCGAGAGCGCUCCGCCUCGCCCGACCUGGCGCGAGCCCUGCCUGCAAGAGUACUGCCCGCCAACACUCGCUCAUCGCAAGCUGCGGGUCGGGGCAAGCGGUUCACAUUCCAGUCGACAGUGAGACAGCUAGAGCGACGCCGUCUAGCUGAGAAGCUGUCCAAAGAGGCUGACUUGAAGGAACAGCAGAGAAGAACAGAGCUGGAGGCCAUGAGGAGAGUGGAGGAGGAGUUCCAGCGCAAGCGCGCGCGGGAGAAGGCGAACAUCAGACAACAGCUGCGCCUCGUCAGUGGCGUCAACAGCAUGCCCACGCCACCGCCGCAACAUAAUAAGUCUCGCGACUCCCCGGACGGGUCGUGCCGCGCGUCGCCGGCGCCGGAGCGGCCGCGCGACUCGCAGCGACACAGUAACGCCUCGUCCGAGAUCAGCGCCCGCAGCAAGAGUACUACUCCUAUCCGCAGCGUGGAGCUGUCGGCGUGGCGCACGGGUUGCGAGGCGCGCGUGUACCGCGACUGGGCGGCGGCGCGCGAGCACCCCCCCGCCUGCGCGCACAUGCCCAGGGCCACCCACACUAUAUACAACGGCGGCGGCAGCGCCGGGUCGGGCGAGGCCUUCAGCGGCAGUCCUCGCUCGGACAACUACCGGCUGGAGUUCGCGCGCGGGCGCCCCCCCUCCCCGCGCGCCGCGUCCCCGCGCACGCCGCGCGCGCCGCGCCUGCUGCGCGUGCGACAACCAUCCUCGUCGGGGUCUGACCUGUCGCUCAGACAGCCUAUUAAGAUCAGGUGGUGAAGUGUGGGAGUAGCGCUAUUACCUAACAUUAACCCUGCGCGCGCGCAUACAAGUGAACCUACGAAAGAGGAGACGGAACCCGAGGAGCCCGCCAUCGUCCCAACGCUCCGCCCCGCUGGACCUCCGCGGACCCCACUACUCACUCACUGACACACACUCAUUCAGUCACACUCACUCGCUCACACAGUGUCACUCAUUUACACAUAAUGUCACUCAAUUACACUGAUAACUGAUACACAGUCUGCAGGCAUCUAUCUGGUUAUAAUGAUGUCGGUGGGAUUAAAGUGUUAAUUUCACUAUGUUGGAAAAAUCUAAUAGUUUGCAACAGUGAUCACUAAAUAUUAACAACCACAAAAAAUUAUAAAUAAAAAGUGUUUUGUCUCCUUCAAUUUAAAACGAUGUCAAGUUUUAGUAUGUUUUGUGGUAAUUAUUAGACGCGUUUGAUGAACGUGAGUGUAAAGUAAGUGUCACUCUCAUAUGUGACAGUGACAUUAAUUGACGAUGAUAUAAUUAAGAACUUAAGCAUAAACUUGUAUAUGUUGAACUGUAAUCUAUGUAAACACCUAUUUAUUUAACUUGAAUUCUUUUUAGGAGUUUGUUACCUGAUAUAUUGGUUUGAGGUUAAAUGGGACUUUGAGAGAUGGCCAAGCGUUAGUGCCAACCUAAAAAUAUUUGGUAUAAAAAUUAAGAUAAAUAAAUAAAUGAAAAGGAACCUUUUUAUAAAUGAGUUUUGGAACUAAUUAUGGGCACGAAGGUGGUCGAAUGUCCGGUGUUCAGUGGAAGCCGGAACGGGUGUGUAUGUAGGUGGGUCACGCGAACUCUUGCUGAAAUUUGGGUCGCCAAGCAUUUGUGCUAUUCUUAUUUACCCUUUACUUUUCUUACUUGUUGACCUACUGUAGAAAAGUCAGACUGUGUGGAAAAUAGCGCAGAUAAUUGUUUAAGUGGCUCUCUUUUAUGGUACUGAAAAAAAAGUUAUUUCAACAUAAAACCAGCCAGUUCGUGUGACUUGCAAUAUUUUUUUAUAAGACAAGAAAACUUUAGAAAUUGUUUCAGUAGGGUUUCAAUUUGGAAAUAUUUUAAAGAAAAUGGAAAAGAGAGAAUUGUUAAUUUAGCAACACAGUAUUGUGAAGAUAUUGACUCCGACGAGUGCUUUAAUUCGCAUCUGUUACGUACUAAGUCUGUGUAAAUCUUUGUACUGUAUUUAAUCAAGUUUAGUUUUUAUAUAACAAGCUGUAUUCACAAGAAGAAAGAAGCAUAUAUUUUUGGAAAGAAAAAUGAUGUAUUUUCUGGAUUUAAAUAUGAAAUAAUUGAUGAACUUUCUUUUUGUGAAAACAGUUUCUACGUUAUAAUUCCAAUAGUUAUGGUCUUCCAUUGUAAGCUAAAUACUGAAGCUUUAAUAUAGACUUAACCCUAGACUUAUUGCGGUGCUAUUUUACGUCAAACUGUAGAGUGACGUUACAAUGUCAACGUCAAACCCUACAGUUAAAUGUCAUUGUAUUAGGUGCUGAAUUAUACCGAGUUUUAUACAUAGUCAUAUCGAUAUUAUUAUGUGAGUUUUCUGUUACAAGUAAAAUAAAAAUAUCGUGUUAUAUAAACAAACAAAUUUCCCAUAAACAGCCUAUAUUGUGUCCCUUAAUUGAGACUUCCCCUCGUAAUAACCUUUAGGAAAGCUGAUAGUCCAUUUCCUAUAGUUCACGGGUAGAAUGGACCGGGGUGCGCCGUGACCGGGUUAACCACGGCUGAUCGAUUGUCGCAGCCAUGCUUUUAUGACGUGAAAAAUAAUAUUGGGCGGUUUUCAUUGUAAUCAUUUCAUUGUUAACAGCCCUAUAAAGUCCUUAUUAUAGUUAUAGUUGUGGGAAAGACUGCUUGAAAAGGACUAGCGGUAUUUAAAAACAAAUAAUGAAAUACUAUAUGAAUAGGUGAAAUGUCAACUUUGCCGACGUAACCUUUGUAAAAAGUCAAAGAAUAUUAUGUAUGCCCAUGACAUUAACAUGAAAUUGAAAUAAUGGAGAACAUAAGCAUGAUAAAGACUAACUCGUUGAGGAAAAAUAAAUAUACUUUUAAGAAACUCACUUAAAUAAGUUAUAUUUGUUUAUUAUUUAUCAUACAUACAGCCCUAUAUUAUACCUAAUGUUGUGUAUCAUUUAUUCAUUUUUAAUUAAACGAUAAAUAUAAUAUACAACACAAGAAGAAUUUUAUUUAUAAGAAAUGAAAUUAUGAAUCUAAUAUAAAACGGCUCAAUUGUAUAUAACUUAAACUUAAGUGUUAUUAAUAUUGUGUAUCUGUAUUCGAAAUAUACAUUUGAUUGCUGAAAUAUUUAAAGUAAUAAUAUCUGCAAUUUUUAAAUGUCUGGUUAUUCUUAUAUACCUACAUUUCUCGGGAAAAGCAUAUAAUAUUACUAUAAAUAUUUAGCGUCAUAUAGACUUAAACUUGUAACAUAGAUAAGCAUAUACAUAGGUGCAUUGUAUUGUAUAUAAUAAGCUAAAGUUCGGUGCAUGUACAUAACUAGAGUAGGAUGUAAACCCUGUAUCUACGAGUAAUAAAGAUUUGUAUAACGAUUUUA
rnacentral:misc_RNA from 1 species